GCGAUGGAGACAAGAUGGAUGCCCUGUGCGUUUAUGACUGCACGUGUGAUCAUGGAGGAGCUUGUGGCAAAUCCACCUGACAAUGGAUAAGAGGCAAGCCGACCCACAAUUCUAAGGCAAGCAGUACGGAAAACAGAUGGAAAGGUUUUUUUUCAAGGUACCACCGAGCAGAACCAAUUUACCGCGCCGGUGUUCACAACCGCACCCCGCUCCGAUCUGCACGCACAGAUACGUGCGCAACUGCAUGCACAAGGAGCCUACAAUUUCCUUGACCUUUCCACCGACUGCCAGCA